rnacentral:rRNA from 1 species
UGCCAGCAGCCGCGGUAAGACGAAGGUGGCAAGCGUUGCUCGGAAUUACUGGGCAUAAAGCGCGCGUAGGUGGCGCAGUAAGCGAAUGAUGAAAUCCCAUGGCUCACCCAUGGAACUGUCGUUCGAACUGCUGUGCUUGAGGACGGGAGGGGAAGGUGGAAUUCCUGGUGUAGCGGUGAAAUGCGUAGAUAUCAGGAGGAACACCGGUGGCGAAAGCGACCUUCUGGCACGUUCCUGACACUGAGGCGCGAAAGCUAGGGGAGCAAACAGGAUUAGAUA